UUGCUUGGUAAGGAGUGCCAAACAUAUCUUAGACUCAUUAUACCUGCACAAUUACUUAAAAUUGUAAAAGAUAUUUAUACAAUCAAGUCACAUCAAUCACAAAUAAAUCACUAUACUAAAAUUAUUUCGUUACCUAGUACUGGCAAGUGGAAGUUGAGAGAGUGGUAAUAUGAAAGGGAAGCAAUAUUGCAUUCUUCUCUAAAACAAGUGAUUGCAGAGUACAAAUUACAGUUCUAGAUUUCAGAUUAUUGCAGAUUAAAGAUUACAAUUGCAGAUUGCAGGUUCCAGAUUCCUCCCAGCAGAUAAUCAUUAUUCAGAUUUCAUGAAAGUCUAGUUAAUAUGAAAGGGAAGCAAUAUUUUGUCUGAAUGACAGUUAGAAAUUCAAUGUUGUGCAGUCUAAUGCCCAACGGUCACAGACAAAUCAGUGGAAAGACAAGAUUUUCCCUGCGAAAAUGGGGCAUAAAGGCCCUCACAACAUCGCUCAAGCAAAGAAAUUCACGGUAGCCAUCUCCAUCCACAGGUUUUACGGGAUCCAUCUCAUCCUACAAAUAUUUUAAUUCCCAGUUUGAAGAUUACGAAGAAAGCAACCGUAGUGGAAGAACAAUGAUAUCAAUUUCAGGACUCUUUGUGUGGACUUUGCAGCUCAACAAGUGUUUUAUGUCGAUCAUCCUAUGGAAAUGGAGUGGCAAAUGGUUGUUAAAGUAAAGACAAGAGGUUUAUGAUUAAGGUGAUGACACAACAACAAUUGAUCAUAAGGAAAGACAUAUGGAGUUGUGGCCUGAAUAGCAAUUGGAUGACACAACAUUUGAAACUGAAGAAGACAUUGAAUGAGUUAGAGAAGGAGUACCAGGAUUAGAAAUCGACCCAGAAACUUUGUUAUUUGGAAGGAUUCAUAGCUGCUAAGGAACAUCGUUGAAAUGACAAGAAAAAGACAGAGAAAUUCUAGUCAAGAUUCUGAGCAGCAAAAACAACAAAUCGGAAGUAUGCCAAUGCCUCAACCGCCCCAAAAUUGGCCACAAAAUGAAAGAGAUGAAUCCUAUGAUGCAAAAAAUCUUCGAGAUUUUGAGAAACAAAAACAACAAAUCGGAAGUAUGUCAAUGCCUCAACGCCCAAAAAUUGGCCACAAAAUGAAACAGUUGAAUCACAUGAUAAAAAAAAUCUUCUAGAUUCUAAUGAGAGUGAAGAGCAGUCUAAGCAAACUAGGGGUCCCACUAUGAUGCACUCGGGAUGGGGGAAACACGGUGGAAAUUUACAUAUUGAAUUGAAUGAACAUGGUCAAGUUAUUGGGUCAGAAGGAAAUAGGAUGAGUUCAAAACAUGGUGUGCUAGCACGAAAUGACAUCUUAGCGUCACUGAAUUAUAAAGAUUGGAGGCUUGUACCUAUUAUGUACAAGGAUAGAAUAUGGGCUCAUAUCAAGGUUCUUAGAUACACAAAACCUAUAUACUAAGAUGUUUCUAUUUUUAUAUUUAAUUUUAUAAAUGAAUUGUGUAUUAAAUAUAUGUACUGGAAAAUACUAACGCAACUGAUGACAUGAAGCGCAUACUGAUGAUGUCAUUUGGAUCUAAAUAGAAAGAAUUAAAGCAUGAAGCAAAAAACAUUGGAUAUGCCCCAUAUAACAAUGAUAUUGAGCGUUUAGCUCAUCGUCCAGAUAGAGUUGAAGAACAUCAGUGGCGUUCAUUAGUUUAUUAUUGGAGAUCAAAAGAAGCAAAGGUAUGUGCUAGGUUUCUACUUAUGCAUUUGCUCUACUAAAUGAGAAUUUCAUACAGGUUAUCAUAAAUUAUUAAUGUCGUGUUUUCCCUGAUUAUACUUCUUAUUGUAGAACAGUUAGAAGUUCUUUCUGAUUUGUCCCUUUCUUCUAAUUGGCUGAAAUAAUGUUGUUGUACAUUCCCAGUUUGCCAACCUGCACAAAAUGUUCUUGUAUAGAGAUUGAUUGCACUUUGGCAAACUCAACUAUGCUGUUUUUUUAUAUUUUUUUCUUGGAUAUUUCUUUUAUAUAUUCAAGAUUGCACAUGUACUCUUAUAUAUUACUAGUUAAAAUACCCUCGCUUUGCGCGGGAGUUUAAUAUUACAAAAUUUGUAAAAUAAUACUUCAACUAUAUCGGUCAUUAAACCUAAAACUCUAUAUUCUCUUACGCACAAGAUUAUGUAGUAAGAACCAUUAACGAUGUAAAGGAACAUAAAUAAUUAUUGCAUCUUAUCAUUUAUCCUUAAUAAUAUAAGCAUAAACUAAUGACUGUAAAAAUACAUACCAGGAACUGUAAGAUAAGCAAUGAUGCCUGUUAGCCACUCAACAGGAGCAAGGUACAUAAAUAUUUAAUUAUGAAGAAGAAGAGGUUUAGAAUUUUCAUUUUUCUAAAAUGGGAUGAAAACUCUCUACUUAUUGUGUGAAUAAAGGAUAGUGUUGAAGAAUAUUUAUUGUGCCUUAUCGGAAAUAUUACAACUAAUUGAAAAAGUUACAACGCUUCGGUAAUGUCUCAACCUUUCAGAAUAGUCACAACUUUUCAUAAAAGUCGCAACUCUUCAUUAAAGUCGCAACUCUUCAUUAAAGUUGCAACUCUUCAUUAAAGUCGCAAGUUUUCAUAAAAGUCGCAACUGUUUAAAAAAGUCACAACUCUUUAAAAGAGAAUGCUUGUUUGUGGUGGCGCCACGUAGACCUGCCUAAGGUUCUAUUUUAUAUAAUUAUAUGAUUGUUUUUAAAUUUCUAGGAAAAGAGUGAGAGAAACAAAGAAAGUCAAAAAAAUUGACUAUGCCACACACAUCAGGGAGAAAAAGUCAUCUUCAAAUUAUACACGAUAUGAAUAAUGGUGUAAAGACAACUCGUAUUGAGGUAUUCAACUCACAUUAGAGCGAAUGAAGAACCAGGUAAUGAGAUAGGUGGUGAAGUUAUGGUAAGCUCUUACUCUUUAAAAAUAUAUCGGUACUUUCUUUUUAUUACAAUUUUUUAAGAAAACUUCUCAUUACUUUACCUUUCUUUCAAAAAGAAACAAAUGGAUGAUCUUGCCGAGGUGUAUCCUGAGUUUAACGUCCCUGGAAGUGCUCCUAAUGAUAUGUACUACCAUGUAAUGGAUCAGACACUCAUAGAAUUGUUCGUACUCUAGGAAAUGGAGCAUCUCCUAUCUUAGUAUAUGGCCCCGUAUAUAAACGAUUUUAGGCUGAAAAACGAGAUUUUGAUGCAAGAGUUGAGAUAGAAGUUCAAAAAGCUACCUCAGCUAUGAAAAUUCAGAUGAUCGAGAAGAUGUAUGAAGCAAAAAAAGAGAUGGAAUCGAUGGAUAAAAAGUUGUUAGAGGCGAAAGAGGAAGCAAAAGAGAUUAACGAAGCGAUGGAGAGAAAAUUAUCAGAAGCAAAAAGGGAUAUGGAAGAAAUUAUAGCGGAUAAAGUGAAGGAAUGAAAUACAAGCAUAUCUAGAGUCUUUUGUGAAUUAAUAUUGAUGCAAUUUUAAAUCAAAGAAGGUGAAAUAAUUGUGUUGCCCACCAAAAAAGUACCUUUUUAGAUGAAAAGAUAGUUUCUCUUAAUUAUAAUAGCCUUCCUCUUUUGCAAUAUGUUCCUGAUAACCAACAUAAAGAUUGUCAACAACAUCAUCACUUGUUCCAGGUGUUCACACAAGAGAGGUUAGAGAAAAUUCAGUAAAAUUCUAAAUUUUAUUUUAAUUUGCGUAAGUCCUGACAUUUAUAUGAUCACAAGAUCAACUAAUUCCUCUUUCUUGUUUAAUAUGGAUUAAUCGACAAACAUGUUACUUUUGAUCAUGUAAUAGUCUUUAGUUGGAUUUGGAGUUGUAGUUUUAGAAUUUGCUCAUAUUGCUUUUGAUAAGCUAAUUGUUUGAUUCUACUCUGUUUUAGCCCUCUGUUUCUGCCUUACGGAAUGGUAAGUUGCAUUGAGUACAUUACAGUGAUGUUAUGGUUUGAUGUGUGGCUUAUUGUGUGUUAUGAUGGAAACUAGUGUUUCCUGCUUUGUUUUUCCUUUGAGUUUCAUUGGUAUGUUGAAAAAUGUUGAAUUUGAUAAGUUUUUACUUGAACUUAAUAUGGGCUACAAAAAAUUCAUUAUCUCAUAAUCUAGAUUGUCUUUUUUUACAAGGUAAAGGUUUAUUGACUAAAGUACCAAUAAGCUACCAAAAGCAAAAGUUGAUUACUCUUUCCACUUCUUCAACAGUGAAAGGCCUCUCCAACCACUCACUAUCUUCAUUUCGUAAUUUUCUCUAAGUAUCAUCUUCCCAACUUGGUCUCCAACCUUCAGUUUCAGUAAAAGGAUCUUGAUAAAAUCCGUGAAUAUGAUCCUUAAUCAACUCAUCUUCCUCAACAAGCUUCCUUCCAUCAUUCAUUUAUCAAUAAGAUUAAUUCUAAUUAGUGUUUUUAUCUCCAUUCUGCAACCACAAGCAUCUGGAUUUCUGUCUCCAACUUAUUUCUUUAGAUGUUGCAUUUUCCUCUAACGCUUUGAUAAAUUUGUUCCUUUCAACUUCUAAUUGCUCAUUGCUCUGGUUAUUUCUUAAAGCCUUUCAAAUGCUUUACUCAUCCUCACUUGUAAGUUGCUGAAUGCUUCCUUGUUCCAUUUUUUUAAAUCUGCCUUUCCAAUGCUUUACUCUUCCUCACAUCUGGUUCACCUUGUCUGUCAUAUGAUUUCCAUCAACUGUGUAUUAAAUCAACAAAUAUGCGGUGUUCAAUAUACCAAAUAUUCCCCCACUACUCCCUUGUGCUUUCAAUUCGACCAAUCUGUCCAUCUAGAACCACCAACGUAUUUGAUACAAGGUAAAUCAAUCACCUUCAUUUUGUCAAAGAUAAGUUUAUGUUUGAGCAUUUUUGAAUUUUAUAACAAAGGGAUCUGAAUUUUCUGAUUGAGUACCUAUAUUGAAAGUGCUUCCGUCUUAGCUUGUCUUACCUAGAGUUGGUCUUAUGUUUGAUUGAAGCACAACAUAUUGACUAUUAUUGAUUUAGUCGUAUUGAAUAAUAUUUUAUCUUAGGAGAUGAUAAAAUUUGGGUAUACUGUUUGCACUUUGUAUUUAAGGAUGAUUUGUGCUAAUGUCCAUUACAUUAGACUCAAGAGAUGUCUACAAGUUCAUACAUGAAUGAUAUUUCUGUAGAAUCAGAUAAGUAUGUAUAGUUAUAACUAUUAUACGAUAUGUCAAGAGAAGGUGCAUUAGGAAAGACUCUGCCAUUCCAUGGUCUAGCUCUUAGAGUUCAAUGGAACCAUUCAUGAUGAAUGUUUUUAGGAAUCCACCAGUAUUGAAUGUCCAGUUAAACUCACCCCUGGAAGGAUCAUUUUCCUAUUCCAUGACGAAAGGGAACGAUGAAAAUCAGUUUUUAGAUUAAUCCCAACCUUCAUUCCAGGUAAAUAUGAUUCACCUGGAUUGUAAAAACUUUGCCACAGGUAGUACUGAGGCUUAUCCUCGGUUGCAUCUCGAACAACAAGUUGCUUGAAUCAAGGAGUUGUGCUACUGGAUUUUGCUCAUGUCUAGUUGAAUCAGAGGACCACAUUACUCUGCCAGAACCAUUUAUAAGAGUAAGAAUUCCUUGUCUGGUAAAAUUUAGCGCACUGGCUGUGUCGUUCAGUGAAUUUUCUCCAUUACAGGUUAGAACUUGAGAAAAAAUGAGUUAUACGCUGAUUUUAGUACUACAAAAACAACUUCCUCUCAAUCCCAAGCAAGUUGUAGUAGGUGGACAGCUAGCUAAAACUAGUCAUUUUAUGAUGAAUCCUCGGAAUACUCAUAUAAAGAUGUUAAUUCACUAAAAUGUACCUGGGAGGAGCUGAUUGUAACCGUUGUGACCAGCAUGAAGUCUUGCCAACAUGCUAAUAAAUAGAGCAUUGUUAUAAGUGGCAGGCUCAGUUUGAUCAUAGUGUCUGUUCGAUCCGUGAAGUUGUCAUAGGCAUCAGGUCCACCAAUAAGAGAACGAGUAAGGAGAUUAGGAUCACUUGCCUUUCUACUAUAACCUUGCAUAGCCUUCCCGAAUGCUAACAAAACUAGAAUUCACCUUAAACGAGACAUGGAGGAAGCUCCGUGGUGUACUUGUCUUAGGUUAUUGUUUCCAUAUCCCACCCUGUAACUUGUUGCUCUCAGGUUGUCACCAAGAAUGUAGUACACGUAUAAAAACAUCAAACAUGAUGAUUAGUUUACCAAGGACACGUUGUUCUUUUUUACUUUUUCAGCAGUGACUGUAAAACUUGUAAUAUAAAUCUCCUCAUCUUGUUGAUUAUCUUUGUUUAUGCUACUAUCAUUAAGAGCUGCAAAAUAAUUGUAUGUGUUGAUGCCUUCUUCUCUUUCCAUUUGUUCAUUCUUUUUGUGCAUGGAGUCUAUUUUUUUUGUUGAAUAAGGAAACAUAUUAUUUUGUCCAAAAGUGACUAAACUUGCUGCACUAACUAGCAGGGAAAAUAUUUACAUCCAUCACAGGAGCACUAGAAAAAAUACUGGGACUUCCAUGUAUAUACAUAGAUGAAGAGUGGGCUGAAGCUAUAUUUAUCCUUCUAAGGAACUCUUCUUCUUGCUUGUCUGCACACAAAACGACCAAAGUUGAUGGAGGAGGGCUCGAAAAUGUAGUAGUCCAAACAGUAGGGGUGCUUCCUCUAUUGUAAAAAUCUAAGACUGCUAGGCUAUCUACUAAUUUGUUCUUUUCUCUGUAGACAUGGUAGACAGUAGGAUCACCCAGCCUUUGAAGGAGGCAACUGCAGUCAAAUAAAAGAGGUAAAAAGUUAGUAAAAUCAGUAUUAAUUAGAUUAACUAGCAGCUCAGCAUGCACGUUUAUUUCCAAAGGCAAAAGUUGAUGUUCCCAUGCUAAAUGUAAGCCCUUGAGCAAAGCAUGUAAUUCUGUGUCUAAGGCAUCUGCAGUGGCCACAAGGCCUGAUAAUCCCAAGAUCCAAUAUCCAACAUAAAGAAAAAAUUUGAGAUAGAGUGCCCACUUCUUCCCUGAAUGAAGCAACCUUGGAGCAUGUCAGAAAAAGGUGGGUUAUAGAUACCAUAUCACCCAAAUUACAAAGCUGACAAAUCGGUGAGGGGAUGCAAGAGAUGUGGUGAAGGUAGCAGGAGGUUGGUAGUCAUCCAUGGUGUAAUACUAGAGAUUAUUUUAUGAGUAGACCACUUCUUGCAUUGUGUGUCCAUCCCUGUUACGUCUUCUUCUGGUUGCUAAUAUUCAUCUAUUCCUCUCUUGUUCUUUUGACACUGAUUUUUAAGUUCAUGAAUGUGAUCCUCCCUUACUAUACUCUGCCAUUUAAAGUCCUUGUAAGAGGAGAAGAUUUGUAAAACGGGCCAUCUUCUAAAUAAUGUGAUUGUCCCUUACUAUACACUGCCGUUUCAAAUCUUCAGAUACAACUUUCUAAUCUGGCGGUUUAAGACAAUAAUAUCUUCGUAAGCUGCUUGCUCAUGGCUGGCGAAUUUGAUCAUGUUGCUUUCGAUAAGUUAAUUGAUCAAUUCUGCUCAAAUUCUCCCUACUUUUGUCUGUAUAGAAUGUUAAGUUUCAUUGAGUUCAGUACAGUGAUAUUAUGGUUUGCUGUGUGGCUUAUUGUGUGUUUUGACGGAAACUAGUGCAUUGUUCAAAUCAUUAUCUGUAGAGUUGGUUGGAAUGGAUCUAGAGGUAUUUGGAUGAACUAGUUGACUAGAUAAAUAUGCUAGGUUUUGUGGUCAAGAACUCAUGAUAUGUGAACAUUGUGUUGGAAAAACUCAUUUUAAUGCUAUCACACUUAGUUGUAUUAUACGAUGUUUGUAUCUUUGUCCCAACACCAAAUGUUUGUUUUGUUGAAGCAAUCAUAUGUCUUCUUUUUUUUAUUUUCCUUGUGGAAAAAUUGGAACACUUAUGUACUCAAUAAAAUGGUAAGCUUUGUAUUUCGUAGAGUAUCACAAUAAUCAAUUUAAUAUUUUUUUGUUAGGCUAACAUGAUCAAGAAGAUUGGAACAACCGUAGUUAGCACAAAUAAAAAGAAGUGGAUAUGUUUGAAAAAACUACAAGAUAUUUAUUUUCUUUCAAAAGGAGGAAAAUUUCGUGUUCAUAGUUCCUUUUUUUAUGAUCUCUGAUGCAGCUUCAUAGCAUUAAUGUGCAGCUUCAUAACAUGUAUUUGUUUUGCCAUUCUAUGGCCAAGUUGUAAGUAAUGUAGUUCAUCAGACAGAGCAUUGUUCACAUUGAUAUUUGCGAGAAGCCUUUUACCUUGUUGCCCCUUCUGACCCUUAUUACUGCUCCAGCUCCUCCAGCCUAGUUGUGGGAUAAAAAGACCCGAGAACAAUCAGUUUAAGGCCCCUAUCAGCAGGUUCCCAUUUAAUAAAUUCUUUACCUUUCCUCUUUUUGCUAUUCGUGAAGCCUAUGUAGAAAUAUUUCAUUGCUCUGUCUGUAGGUAAUCCUAAUGGAAUGGCUUCUUUCUUGUCAGUAUGGUAGUUGCUGUUUCUAUUUAGCCAUUAUGUUCCAGAUGUAAAGGGAAAUGUGAAUUCCCAUUUCACUACGUUUUUGUUUUUGGACUUUAUUUGAAGUUUAUUAUAGUUACUCAUACACACAAUAUCAGUGGAGUUCCUUUUCAAAUACAUCUACUGUUGUUGCAUUAUGCUUUCUCUUUUUCAGGUUUUACUGGAAUGACUUCUUUCUUGUCAUUAUGGUAGUUGUUGUUUCAGUUAGCCAUAUGUUCCAGAUGUAAAAGGGAAAUGCAAAUUUCCAUUCCACUACGUUGUUAGAUUGCUGACUCUGUAUAUUCUUUAAAGCCAAUUCCUUAAUAUGUUUACUUUUAGAAAAAUUCAAUUAGUCAUUUUUGAUAUCCCAAUUUGUUCUAGCUAUUGCAGAUCUAAUUUCUAUUAUUAUAUAGUUACAAAUUUUUUUAUGUGCAUUUCUUGUGCAGAAUUUAUAAGGAAAUUGAGGUCAAGUAUCGACUUCAACAUGCUCGACUUUUGGAUUGAUGAUUUCAUAAAGAUUUAUUGCAAAUUUACUGGAGAUUUUAAUUUCAUUUUAAUUAGGAGUUAGUUAGCUGGUUUAUGUUGAGAUUAUUACUUGAGAUAGAACAGAUAAUUUGUUUCGACAUUGUUUACUUUUACAUAAAACAUAUUAUAUUGGUAUUUUGUUCUUUGAUUA